rnacentral:rRNA from 1 species
AUAUGCAUCCCAAAGAAAGAUGGAGGUAUGGGCUUUCGUGAUCUGCACUCUUUUAAUUUAGCUAUGUUGGCGAAACAAUCUUAGAGACUGAUUUCAAAUCUAGAUUCUCGGUGUGCCAGAGUUCUUAAGAAAUAUUACUCAAGUUGUCACUUGUUGAAGGCGGGUCCGAAGAAAGGGUCAUCUUUUACCUGGCAAAGCAUAGUAGCAGGUCUACGUACUUUUUGCAGAGGACACAUUUGGAGAGUGGGUUUAGGGGAGAUGAUCAACAUCUGGGAGAAUCACUGGAUUCUAGGAAGCAUAAAUCGCAUGAUACAGACUCCCAAGGGACAAAUAUUAUUGCAAACAGUUAAUGAGCUCAUUGAUCCAACGACUGGCAAAUGGGAUGAGUGGUUAAUCCGUGAUAUUUUUUACCCUAUAGAUGUGGACAGAAUCUUGCGGAUUCCUUUAAGCGAACACCAAGAGGAAGAUUUUGUGGCUUGGAAUUAUACAAAAUCUUAUUCGUUCUCCGUCCGAUCU